rnacentral:rRNA from 1 species
GUGCCAGCCGCCGCGGUAAUACAGAGGUCUCGAGCGUUAGGCGGAAUCACUGGGCUUAAAGCGUGUGUAGGCGGAUCGGUAAGUACCUUGUGAAAUCCCACAGCUUAACUGUGGAACUGCUUGGUAUACUGCCAGUCUUGAGCCAGCUAGGGGCUACCGGAACAAAUGGUGGAGCGGUGAAAUGCGUAGAUAUCAUUUGGAACGCCAAUGGUGAAAACAGGUAGCUGGGGCUGUGCUGACGCUGAGACACGAAAGCCAGGGGAGCAAACGGGAUUAGAAACCCUAGUAGUCC